AUUUAAAUAGCUUAUAUUUAGAGCAUGACAUUGAAGCUGUCAAAGAAACUUUUUUGUUUUUAAAUA